GAUGAAGAACGCAGCGAAAUGCGAUAAGUAGUGUGAAUUGCAGAAUUCAGUGAAUCAUCGAAUCUUUGAACGCACAUUGCGCCCCUUGGUAUUCCAUGGGGCAUGCCUGUUCGAGCGUCAUUUGUACCUUCAAGCUCUGCUUGGUGUUGGGUGUUUGUCUCGCCUCUGCGUGUAGACUCGCCUUAAAACAAUUGGCAGCCGGCGUAUUGAUUUCGGAGCGCAGUACAUCUCGCGCUUUGCACUCAUAACGACGACGUCCAAAAGUACAUUUUUACACUCUUGACCUCGGAUCAGGUAGGGAUACCCGCUGAACUUAAGCAUAUCAAUAACGGAGGA
rnacentral:misc_RNA from 1 species